rnacentral:rRNA from 1 species
UACGUAGGGAGCAAGCGUUGUCCGGAAUCAUUGGGCGUAAAGCGCGCGUAGGUGGCCAUGUAAGUCCGCUGUGAAAGUCGAAGGCUCAACCUUCGAAAGCCGGUGGAUACUGCAUGGCUAGAGUACGGAAGAGGCGAGUGGAAUUCCUGGUGUAGCGGUGGAAUGCGCAGAUAUCAGGAGGAACACCGAUAGCGAAGGCAGCUCGCUGGGACGGUACUGACGCUGAGGCGCGAAAGCGUGGGGAGCGAACAGG